rnacentral:rRNA from 1 species
AGUGAACGCUGGCGGUAGGCCUAACACAUGCAAGUCGAACGGCAGCACAGUAAGAGCUUGCUCUUACGGGUGGCGAGUGGCGGACGGGUGAGGAAUACAUCGGAAUCUACUUUUUCGUGGGGGAUAACGUAGGGAAACUUACGCUAAUACCGCAUACGACCUACUGGUGAAAGCAGGGGAUCUUCUGACCUUGCGCGAUUGAAUGAGCCGAUGUCGGAUUAGCUAGUUGGCGGGGUAAAGGCCCACCAAGGCGACGAUCCGUAGCUCGUCUGAGAGGAUGAUGAGCCACACUGGAACUGAGACACGGUCCAGACUCCUACGGGAGGCAGCAGUGGGGAAUAUUGGACAAAGGCCGCAAGCCUGAUCCAGCCAUACCGCGUGGGUGAAGAACGACUUCGGGUUGUAAAGCCCUUAUGUUGGGAAAGAAAAGCAGCAGGUUAAUACCCCGCUGUUCUGACGGUACCCAAAGAAUAAGCACCGGCUAACUUCGUG